GACGAACCGUGCGAACGUUGUUCGGAAACACUGGGCUUAAAGGGCGCGUAGGCGGGCGGGCAAGUCGGAGGUGAAAGCCCACAGCUUAACUGUGGAAGUGCCUUCGAUACUGCCGGUCUAGAGGGAGGUAGGGGCGUGCGGAACUUCCGGUGGAGCGGUGAAAUGCGUAGAUAUCGGAAGGAACACCGGUGGCGAAAGCGGCGCGCUGGAUCUCUACUGACGCUGAGGCGCGAAAGCUAGGGGAGCAAACGGG
rnacentral:rRNA from 1 species